AGCGGCGGACGGGUGAGUAACACGUGGGUAACCUGCCCAAGAGACUGGGAUAACACCUGGAAACAGAUGCUAAUACCGGAUAACAACACUAGACGCAUGUCUAGAGCUUGAAAGAUGGCUCUGCUAUCACUCUUGGAUGGACCUGCGGUGCAUUAGCCAGUUGGUAAGGUAACGGCUUACCAAGGCAAUGAUGCAUAGCCGAGUUGAGAGACUGAUCGGCCACAUUGGGACUGAGACACGGCCCAAACUCCUACGGGAGGCAGCAGUAGGGAAUCUUCCACAAUGGACGAAAGUCUGAUGGAGCAACGCCGCGUGAGUGAAGAAGGGUUUCGGCUCGUAAAGCUCUGUUGGUAGUGAAGAAAGAUAGAGGUAGUAACUGGCCUUUAUUUGACGGUAAUUACUUGAAAGUCACGGCUAACUACGUGCCAGCAGCCGCGGUAAUACGUAGGUGGCAAGCGUUGUCCGGAUUUAUUGGGCGUAAAGCGAGUGCAGGCGGUUCAAUAAGUCUGAUGUGAAAGCCUUCGGCUCAACCGGAGAAUUGCAUCAGAAACUGUUGAACUUGAGUGCAGAAGAGGAGAGUGGAACUCCAUGUGUAGCGGUGGAAUGCGUAGAUAUAUGGAAGAACACCAGUGGCGAAGGCGGCUCUCUGGUCUGCAACUGACGCUGAGGCUCGAAAGCAUGGGUAGCGAACAGGAUUAGAUACCCUGGUAGUCCACGCCGUAAACGAUGAGUGCUAAGUGU
rnacentral:rRNA from 1 species